CCUAAUCUCCUUCAAUGCAUACAUCAAAUUUCUUUGUAUGUAUGUAUAUAUUAUCAUCUACAACUCUACAUACAUAUCUGCAUUUUAUCAUACAUUUGUAGCUUAAAAUUUGGAGGAUUUUGCAGCAGAGACACUGGCGUCUCUGGCCUCCUAGACAUAUCUAAAUAUGAAUUCUGGAAAUGCCAUGGCCGUUGAUGAUUCAAAUCAAACUCCUAUCAGGCUUGAGACACUCCACUCGUCACCGGAUCCUACUAUCCACCACAAUUCUGUCGUUGACGCCUCCAUGUCACCAGUUGCAACUCAUACAACACCUUGGUCAAAGAAAAGUAAUUCUGCAUAUGAAGCACAGGGUUCCAAUUACACCUCCUCUGUUGUAUACAUCCAAUCACCAGCUAUAACGCAUACAAAGGCCCUGCACAGUUUCAUACGCUUGGAGUUGUUGGCUCGUUAAAAACCUUGCCAGGAAAACCCAAUGGGACAAAACUUCAGCUAUGGAAAAAAGAGUGAAGUGCGUAUUUUCUUCUCUGAUUACUUCUGGAUCAAGUAUGUUGCCUCAUUAAAAACCUUGCUAAGAAAACCCUAAUGGGACAAAACUUAGUGAAGAGAAAAAGAGUGUAACUUGAAUAAAUCUCCCUCUCAUUUUAAUAUUUAUCCUUUAAGUGACUCGUGUCCAGCUUCCUUAAAAGUUGCUUAAAGCUUUUGUAGCCAAUGAUUUGCUACUUAUAAUCCCUUAAUGUGCAAUCUUUUAUGUUCGCAAUGUUGUAUGUUCUUCACAUGAGCCUUGUAGCGUCUCUUCUUGUAAACAAAUAUCAUAAGAUGUACAACUGUGUUUUGUUACAUUU